rnacentral:rRNA from 1 species
GAUGAACGCUGGCGGCGUGCCUAAUACAUGCAAGUCGAGCGAACAGACGAGGAGCUUGCUCCUCUGACGUUAGCGGCGGACGGGUGAGUAACACGUGGAUAACCUACCUAUAAGACUGGGAUAACUUCGGGAAACCGGAGCUAAUACCGGAUAAUAUAUUGAACCGCAUGGUUCAAUAGUGAAAGACGGUUUUGCUGUCACUUAUAGAUGGAUCCGCGCCGCAUUAGCUAGUUGGUAAGGUAACGGCUUACCAAGGCAACGAUGCGUAGCCGACCUGAGAGGGUGAUCGGCCAAACUUGAACUGAGACACGGUCCAGACUCCUAAGGGAGGCAGCAGUAGGGAAUCUUCCGCAAUGGGCGAAAGCUUGACGGAGCAACGCCGCGUGAGUGAUGAAGGUCUUCGGAUCGUAAAACUCUGUUAUUAGGGAAGAACAAAUGUGUAAGUAACUAUGCACGUCUUGACGGUACCUAAUCAGAAAGCCACGGCUAACUACGUG